rnacentral:rRNA from 1 species
GAUGAACGCUGGCGGCGUGCCUAAUAUAUGCAAGUCGAGCGAACAGAUGAGGAGCUUGCUCCUCUGACGUUAGCGGCGGACGGGUGAGUAACACGUGGAUAACCUACCUAUAAGACUGGGAUAACUUCGGUAAACCGGAGCUAAUACCGGAUAAUAUAUUGAACCGCAUGGUUCAAUAGUGAAAGACGGUUUUGCUGUCACUUAUAGAUGGAUCCGCGCCGCAUUAGCUAGUUGGUAAGGUAACGGCUUACCAAGGCAACGAUGCGUAGCCGACCUGAGAGGGUGAUCGGCCACACUGGAACUGAGACACGGUCAAGACUCCUACGGGAGGCAGCAGUAGGGAAUCUUCCGCAAUGGGCGAAAGCAUGACGGAGCAACGCCGCGUGAGUGAUGAAGGUCUUCGGAUCGUAAAACUCUGUUAUUAGGGAAGAACAAAUGUGUAAGUAACUAUGCACGUCUUGACGGUACCUAAUCAGAAAGCCACGGCUAACUACGUG